GGUCAGUCCUUCAGGGCAUCAUUGCUUACACAGCGAUGUGAGGCUUGAAGGGAAGACCGCCAGGGAAACACGUAGUCUCAGCAUCCUGCCUUUCGGGGGAUGAUCGCGACUGCGGUAAAUUAACUGGC
rnacentral:ribozyme from 1 species